CUUGUCAAUUUAUUCUUGAAGAGAAUUUAUCAAUCAAUGGAUACAAAAACUCAGAGCUUAGAAUCAUCACUUACAGUUCCAAGUGUUCAAGAACUAGCACUCCAAAAUCCACAAAAAGUGCCACCAAGAUACAUAAGAGAUGAUGAUGGUGAUGAUGAUUUCUGCACCUUUCCUUCUUCUGAUCCAUCUCUUACCAUACCUUUAAUAGAUAUGGCUAAGUUGGUCAACGCUGAUACACAACAAGAUGAGCUUCAUAAACUUCAUCUUGCUUGUAAAAACUGGGGUGUUUUUCAGAUAGUAAAUCAUGGAGUCUCUUCCCUUAAGAAUAUGGGGAAUCAAGUUAAGAGAUUCUUUGAGCUUCCUUUACAAGAGAAAAAAAGAUGGGCACAGAAACCAGGAAGUCUUGAAGGGUAUGGUCAAGCAUUUGUUACCUCUGAGGUGCAAAAGCUAGAUUGGAAUGACAUGAUCUUUCUCAAGUCUUUGCCUAUUCAGAAUCGAAAAUUGGAUUUGUGGCCUCAAAAUCCUCCUCAGUUCAGGGAAACAUUAGAAAAAUAUUCUGAAGAAAUGAGGCAGGAAGCAACAUCAAUUGUGAGUUUCAUUACUUUGGCUUUGGGGCUUGAGGAUACAAAGAUAUCAGAAAGUUUCCAUGAAGGACUAUAUGAUAUAAGGAUGAAUUGCUACCCGCCUUGUCCGGAGCCUGAAAGAGUUCUCGGGAUUAUUCCUCAUGCUGACAAUUCCGGAAUCACUCUCUUGGUUGAUUUUGGUGAUUUUCCAGGGCUGCAGUUCCUCAAAGAUGGAAAAUGGGUUGGCGUCGAACCAAUAGAAGGUGCUAUUGUUGCUAACAUUGGCCAUAUAAUUGAGGUGAUGACAAAUGGGAUAUACAAAGCACCAGAGCAUAGAGCUGUAGUAAAUAAGACGAAGGAAAGAUUGUCGAUAGUGACAUUCUGCUAUCCAAACCCUUCUAUAGAUAUUGCACCUGCUGAGAAGCUAUUUGGUGAAGGAAACAAACAAGUAUACAAGAGCAUGACACAUGCAGAAUACUUCAACAGAAAUUUCGAAGUUACCUGAAUUGCCAAAGCCUGAAUUACCUAAGGUUAAUGUUUCUGAGUUGUGAAAACCUGAGCUACCUAAAGGCCCUGUGAUAAGUGAUACUUGGCAAGUAGAUAGGAUCACACAUGACCGCCUUAUUGCAACCACGUUGAUAGCUUUAAGUGUGAAGUUUUCAAAGUCUAUAAAAGGCUAACUUGUGAAGCUUUUCAAGAUUCAUUCUUACCUUAGAAACAGAGAAAGAGAGCUUAAGGAAUACAGAAAAAAAAGUGGAUGCACUUUUUUUUGGACUAGA